rnacentral:rRNA from 1 species
ACGGGUGAGUAACGCGUGGGAACAUACCCUCGGUUCGGAAUAACUCAGGGAAACUUGAGCUAAUACCGGAUACGUCCGAGUUUUUAAGCGACCUUGGAGAAAGAUUUAUCGCCGGAGGAUUGGCCCGCGUCUGAUUAGCUUGUUGGUGGGGUAAUGGCUCACCAAGGCGACGAUCAGUAGCUGGUCUGAGAGGAUGAUCAGCCACAUUGGGACUGAGACACGGCCCAA